CCUACGGGAGGCAGCAGUGGGGAAUAUUGCACAAUGGGGGAAACCCUGAUGCAGCAACGCCGCGUGAGCGAAGAAGGCCUUCGGGUCGUAAAGCUCUGUCCUAAGGGAAGAAGCAUGACGGUACCUUAGGAGGAAGCCCCGGCUAACUACGUGCCAGCAGCCGCGGUAAUACGUAGGGGGCGAGCGUUAUCCGGAAUCACUGGGCGUAAAGGGUGCGUAGGCGGCCGAUUAAGCCAGGGGUGAAAGGCUACGGCGCAACCGGAGUAAGCCCGUGGAAGUGUUUGGCUGGGGGGCAGUGGAGGGGAGAGGAAUUCAUGGUGUAGCGGUGAAAUGCGUAGAGAUUUGGAGGAGGGCCAGUGGCGAUGGGGAUUCUCUGGACUGUAACUGACGCUGAGGCACGCAAGUGUGGGGAGCAAACAGGAUUAGAUACCCCGGUAGUC
rnacentral:rRNA from 1 species